GACGAACGCUGGCGGCGUGCUUAACACAUGCAAGUCGAACGGUGAUGCUCCAGCUUGCUGGAGUGGAUCAGUGGCGAACGGGUGAGUAACACGUGAGCAACCUGCCCCAGACUCUGGAAUAAGCGCUGGAAACGGCGUCUAAUACUGGAUACGAAACUGGCCCGCAUGGGCAUGGUUUGGAAAGUUUUUCGGUUUGGGAUGGGCUCGCGGCCUAUCAGCUUGUUGGUGAGGUAAUGGCUCACCAAGGCGACGACGGGUAGCCGGCCUGAGAGGGCGACCGGCCACACUGGGACUGAGACACGGCCCAGACUCCUACGGGAGGCAGCAGUGGGGAAUAUUGCACAAUGGGCGAAAGCCUGAUGCAGCGACGCCGCGUGCGGGAUGACGGCCUUCGGGUUGUAAACCGCUUUCGCCUGUGACGAAGCGUGAGUGACGGUAAUGGGUAAAGAAGCACCGGCUAACUACGUG
rnacentral:rRNA from 1 species